AAAAAAAAAAAAAUCCUUAACUCAUGUACCUUCAGUGUUCUGUGGGAACAAUGGAAUAGAAAAGUAGCACAUUAUAGGCCUCACCCAAAGAAGGGGCUCAGCUUGAUACCCAGAGGUGAUGUUUGCUUAGCUCAAAAUGACUUUUUUCUCUUGGCCACAACACCCAAUGGAAUGUGUCUCCGGCAGCCAAAAUUGAACAUAGUUGAUUGAACAAGGGCUUGAACCCAGAGAAGGAGGAGGAGGAGGAAGAGGAGAAGAAGAAAGAGGAAGAGGCAAGAAGACAUAGUGUUGAUUCACAAACUGGCCCCACACACGGAGAGCCAGGAGAGAUGGGAAACACAGACAGGCCACUCCAGAAGAAGAAGAGAGGAUACAGAGAGAAAGAAGACCAUGUGAAGAUAUAGGCAGAGAGCGGAGGGAUAUAGCUACACACCAAGGAAUGCCAAGAAUUCCCAGGAGCUACCAUAAGCUAGGAAAAGGCAAGGAGGAUUCCUUUCUAGAGCCAUGGACUGCCUACACCUUGAUUUCAGACCUCUAGACGCUGGAAGUUGAGUGAAUAAACUGCUGUUGUUUUAAAUCA